GUGGUCUUACACGUUCGGACUGACCGUCCUCCUUUAUAUCUAGCCAUUAUCUUUAUUUUUUUCAACGUCGUACAUGAGAAUCUCAUUUUUUUGCAACAAAUCUCCUCUCCGACCUACCUGGUUUCACUUGCUCCUCUCCUCUUGUCUACCUCCUCCACGCUGGUUGUCUCAUAGCUUCUCCGCUCGCCGUUCUCAAUCUCAGUACC
rnacentral:lncRNA from 1 species